rnacentral:rRNA from 1 species
UACGGAAGGGGCUAGCGUUGUUAGGAAUUACUGGGCGUAAAGAGCGCGUAGGCGGCUUACCAAGUUGGGGGUGACAUCCCGGAGCUCAACUCCGGAACUGCCUUCAAAACUGGUAGGCUCGAGUCCGGAAGAUGGGCGUGGAAUUCCCAGUGUAGAGGUGAAAUUCGUAGAUAUUGGGAAGAACACCGGUGGCGAAGGCGGCGCCCUGGUCCGGUACUGACGCUGAGGCGCGAAAGCGUGGGGAGCAAACAGG